AACUGUUUUUGCUUUGGUUUUCUCCAAAAAAUAAAACUCAAAUGGCAACUGUCCUGAAGGUCGGCUUGCGAAUCUCUGACCUCAGUGCCUCCCUACACACAAAUCAUCGCACAUCCUACUGCAUCCCAGGUGGAACCCGCGGAACCUGACGUUUUCGAGAGCUGUGAAGCUCUGGGUAGCACUGAUCCAUUGUGUAGGAAUUGCUCAUGCUGGGACCAUUACACAGAAAAGGUACAAAUCUCAUACAAAAGGAACAGAACACAAAUAAAGAUAAAUGCAAGCUACAAAACACAGCCUAGAAUGAGAGCUUCACACAUCCUAUAGCUCUUGCAGUGGAAACAGAGAAAUUCCUCAAGGAGUGGACCUCCUUCAAAACCUGUACAGGUCUGAGGUGCUUAUUGUCUCACAAACCAGAUCUUGUCACAGCCUCCUUAAGCAAAAUUUCCAAAGACUCCAGGGGAGUUACCACAGCCAGACGUAACUCCCUGAAAUGCAUACAUGUUAAAUUAAAAUAAAAAUUGGAAGGAGAUUCAGUGUGAA